rnacentral:rRNA from 1 species
UCUCCUUGACCUAAAUACUUCUUUUGCCUUGAGGUGAAGGAGUUUUUUGAGCGACCCCAGGUCAGGCGGUACC